AACAAACGAAACGCGGUGGAUACCGGUCAGAGAACACCAGAAGGGACCAGCCGAUGGCCUUCCGGUACAUCCUAUGCAGCGCGUCCAGACAACGAGAGAAGCGCCCGAGGACGCCUGACGCGUAUCGCGCGCAAUGUGGGGCAGGCAAGCUUGAUCGUACAAGCGCCAACUCCACCGUCUAUGCCAUUGCCUUUAANCCCCCCGCGUAUCCGGACGCGAUUGACUGCACCUCUGGAGCGGAUGCUGUCUGCCGACCC
rnacentral:misc_RNA from 1 species